UACAGAGGUCUCAAGCGUUGUUCGGAUUCAUUGGGCGUAAAGGGUGUGUAGGUGGCGCGCUAAGUCGGGUGUGAAAUUUCGGAGCUUAACUCCGAAACUGCAUUCGAUACUGGCGUGCUUGAGGACUGGAGAGGAGACUGGAAUUCAUGGUGUAGCAGUGAAAUGCGUAGAGAUCAUGAGGAAGACCAGUGGCGAAGGCGGGUCUCUGGACAGUUCCUGACGCUGAGGCACGAAGGUCAGGGGAGCAAACGGG
rnacentral:rRNA from 1 species